rnacentral:lncRNA from 1 species
CAUAAUAUAGCUUCAAAUCCAUACUAAGCAAUUCCAUAACCUGAGAUCACAGCUUUUCACUAUGCGACAAAUCAACAAAUAUAAGCUUUGGCUCCAAAAUCCAAACGAGAAAACCAAGAAAUUGCGAACUAGAAGACGACAACACUGGAAACUUCAGGCUUCUGAACGCCUCAACCCGAACUCAGCCAUACUCCAUAUUCUGAAAUGGAAUCUAAACG